rnacentral:rRNA from 1 species
GAUGAACGCUGGCGGCGUGCUUAACACAUGCAAGUCGAACGAAGCAUUUGCGACAGAUUUUUUCGGAAUGAAGUUGCUUAUGACUGAGUGGCGGACGGGUGAGUAACGCGUGGGUAACCUGCCUUGUACUGGGGGAUAGCAGCUGGAAACGGCUGGUAAUACCGCAUAAGCGCACAAUGUUGCAUGACAUGGUGUGAAAAACUCCGGUGGUAUAAGAUGGACCCGCGUCUGAUUAGCUAGUUGGUGAGAUAACAGCCCACCAAGGCGACGAUCAGUAGCCGACCUGAGAGGGUGACCGGCCACAUUGGGACUGAGCCACGGCCCAGACUCCUACGGGAGGCAGCAGUGGGGAAUAUUGCACAAUGGAGGAAACUCUGAUGCAGCGACGCCGCGUGAGUGAAGAAGUAAUUCGUUAUGUAAAGCUCUAUCAGCAGGGAAGAUAGUGACGGUACCUGACUAAGAAGCUCCGGCUAAAUACGUG